rnacentral:rRNA from 1 species
CGCUACCGUGCAGUCGAGCGGUAGGCCCUUCGGGGUAUCGAGCGGCGAACGGGUGAGUAACACGUGAGCAUCCUGCCCCUGACUCUGGGAUAAGCCCGGGAAACUGGGUCUAAUACCGGAUACGACCGCCCCCGGCAUCGGGUGGUGGUGGAAAGUUUUUUCGGUUGGGGAUGGGCUCGCGGCCUAUCAGCUUGUUGGUGGGGUAGUGGCCUACCAAGGCGACGACGGGAAGCCGGCCUGAAAGGGCCACCGGCCACACUGGGACUGACACACGCCCAAUCUAUAUACGGGAGGCAGCAGUGGGGAAUAUUGCGCAAUGGGCGGAAGCCUGACGCAGCGACGCCGCGUGGGGGAUGACGGCCUUCGGGUUGUAAACCUCUUUCAGCAGGGACGAAGUUGACGUGUACCUGCAGAAGAAGCGCCGGCUAACUACGUGCCAGCAGCCGCGGUAAUACGUAGGGCGCAAGCGUUGUCCGGAAUUAUUGGGCGUAAAGAGCUCGUAGGUGGCUGGUCGCGUCUGCCGUGAAAGCCCGCAGCUUAACUGCGGGUCUGCGGUGGAUACGGGCCGGCUAGAGGUAGGUAGGGGCAAGUGGAAUUCCUGGUGUAGCGGUGAAAUGCGCAGAUAUCAGGAGGAACACCGGUGGCGAAGGCGGCUUGCUGGGCCUUACCUGACGCUGAGGAGCGAAAGCGUGGGGAGCGAACAGGAUUAGAUACCCUGGUAGUCCACGCUGUAAACGUUGGGCGCUAGGUGUGGGACCCUUCCACGGCUUCCGUGCCGGAGCUAACGCAUUAAGCGCCCCGCCUGGGGAGUACGGCCGCAAGGCUAAAACUCAAAGGAAUUGACGGGGGCCCGCACAAGCGGCGGAGCAUGUUGCUUAAUUCGACGCAACGCGAAGACCUUACCAAGGUUUGACAUCACCCGGAAAGCUCUGGAGACAGAGCCUCUUCGGACUGGGUGACAGGUGGUGCAUGCUGUCGUCAGCUCGUGUCGU